GUGGGUAUAGCUCAGUGGUAGAGUGCAUGCCUAGCAUGCACAAGGUCCUGGGUUCAAUUGCCAGUAUCCUCA
rnacentral:tRNA from 1 species